rnacentral:rRNA from 1 species
GAUGAACGCUGGCGGCGUGCCUAAUACAUGCAAGUCGAGCGAACGGACGAGAAGCUUGCUUCUCUGAUGUUAGCGGCGGACGGGUGAGUAACACGUGGAUAACCUACCUAUAAGACUGGGAUAACUUCGGGAAACCGGAGCUACUACCGGAUGAUAUUUUGAACCGCAUGGUUCAAAAGUGAAAGACGGUCUUGCUGUCACUUAUAGAUGGAUCCGCGCUGCAUUAGCUAGUUGGUAAGGUAACGGCUUACCAAGGCAACGAUGCAUAGCCGACCUGGGAGGGUGAUCGGCCACACUGGAACUGAGACACGGUCCAGACUCCUACGGGAGGCAGCAGUAGGGAAUCUUCCGCAAUGGGCGAAAGCCUGACGGAGCAACGCCGCGUGAGUGAUGAAGGUCUUCGGAUCGUAAAACUCUGUUAUUAGGGAAGAACAUAUGUGUAAGUAACUGUGCACAUCUUGACGGUACCUAAUCAGAAAGCCACGGCUAACUACGUG